rnacentral:lncRNA from 1 species
UGGGAGGCAGAAUCUGGCUCGGGGGAAGUGUGCUGCAAUCCAUUAGUGAUGUCUGCCAUGCACAGAGGUGCGGGAGCUUGGGAAGCUGUGUUUCCACCUGUAGACUCCAGGCCAACAGAGCCUCUAAUCUGCGUUCAAGUAGUGUUGGGUGCCUGGCCUGGCCCUCCAAACCAACUCUGCAUUCUCUCCCUUUCCGGGUGAGAAAGAAGCUCCUGAGAUCUUACAGCUUCUGUGUGGCAGAGCUGGGCUCUGAAGCCCGGUUUCCCAGAUCCCAGUUUCCCAUAGCGUCCCACUGUCCCAUUCCUCUCUUUGCUCCGGCUGCUAGGGAGCUCAGCCUGGAGCUUUGGGCUGGCUCUCAGGGGCCAUAUCAGCCUAGGCUUUGGGUCAUAUUUGUGUCAGCCCCAUCCUCAUACUUUCAUCCUCCCUGCCGGGCCUCCCGUGGAGCAGGCCGGACAUAAGUUAUCAACUAUAAAUAAAACCAAGACUUCCGUUCUGGCUCUCACUUUAGUUUCCUGGUGCAUUUUUUUUUUUUUUUUAAGUCCUUCAUUGAGGGAGGUGGGGGAAGAUUCCUAACGGAAGAUGACAUCAUCAUCAGCUGGCCCUGGGGGGCAAGUCCCCAGCUCCACAGGCCCGCGUGGGCCCUGAAUGCCCCCUUUAUGAGGGGUAACCUCAUUACACAAGCCACGCCACAUGGUGGAAUUUCAAAUGGGGUUUUGUGGUUUCUGCCCUUCUCAGCAGAGCGCACAGAGGCAGCUGCGGUCGCCCGGCUUCCUCUGCCGCCGCAGCCCUGGCGCCCGGCCAGCCCAGUGACCACCCGUCCAUCCAUCGUGAGUCAGUUUCAUUCUUAAUUCUCUGAAUCAGGCCCCUUUAAAGGGACGGCAGGACUGAUUCCUCAGGGCAGGCAGGCAAGGAAGGGGAAGCGGCGGUCGGAGGUCAGGAAGGAGCUUGGGGACUUCUGGCAGGCAGCAUGCCUCCAUCCGCCCUCCCUCAGGAUGGAGGGGGUUUCCUGCCCGCUGCCGGGGAGAGGAGCUUGUGAUUGCCCCCCUCCCCCUCCAGAGCUGGCCGUCUGCAGGGCGGGAAGCCCUGGGCCCUCGGCGACCUUGCUUCUUGCCUGGCAAGAAACCCCACCCAAGCUCAGAGGCCAUCGGAACUCUGCAGCCACCCUCUUGGUCCUGCCUUCUUCCCAUCGCAGGUCCUAGGAUGUCUGAGCUGCCUCUGGGGCAGCCCCUCUGGCCACCUGGAGUGCAUGGCCCUGAUGUUCGCCGUCCUGUCUCCUCUCCCGAGGUCCCCCGGCCAGGCCUGCCCCGGAGCAACCUCAGCUCUACCAGCAUGAGGGACAGCUCCCACCCUGCUCGGAAUCUAGCCCUGGCCAAGCCCACCGACAGAGCAUCUGGAUCUGGACACACCUGCCAGUUAUACUAACUAGUCUGGGGCCCAGAGGGAAGACAAACACCAGUGCCUCCGACUUUUAAAAAUCAUCAGCUUUGUGUGCGUGCUAAGUUGCUUUAGCCGUGUCUGACUCUUUGUGACCGCAUAGACUGUAG